AUUGAACGCUGGCGGCAUGCCUUACACAUGCAAGUCGAACGUGAAAGCGGGGGCAACCCGCAAGUAGAGUGGCGGACGGGUGAGUAAUACAUCGGAACGUGUCCAGUAAUGGGGGAUAACCUAGCGAAGUUAGGCUAAUACCGCAUACGAUCUGCGGAUGAAAGCGGGGGAGUGCGGCACUAAAGGACUUUUGGUCGAAGGUGGCCAAAGGUGAGUCAAGAGCUUUUAGUGCUGCACCUCGCGUUAUUGGAGCGGCUGAUGUCUGAUUAGCUAGUUGGUGAGGUAAAGGCUUACCAAGGCGACGAUCAGUAGCUGGGUCUGAGAGGACGGCCAGCCACACUGGGACUGAGACACGGCCCAGACUCCUACGGGAGGCAGCAGUGGGGAAUCUUGCGCAAUGGGCGAAAGCCUGACGCAGCGACGCCGCGUGAGGGAUGACGGCCUCGGUUGUAAC
rnacentral:rRNA from 1 species